CAGUCGCCGCGGGAAUACGUAGGUGGCAAGCGUUGUCCGGAAUUAUUGGGCGUAAAGGGCUCGCAGGCGGUUUCUUAAGUCUGAUGUGAAAGCCCCCGGCUCAACCGGGGAGGGUCAUUGGAAACUGGGAAACUUGAGUGCAGAAGAGGAGAGUGGAAUUCCACGUGUAGCGGUGAAAUGUGUAGAGAUGUGGAGGAACACCAGUGGCGAAGGCGACUCUCUGGUCUGUAACUGACGCUGAGGGGCGAAAGCGUGGGGAGCGAACAGGAUUAGAUACCCCGGUAGUCCCUGUCUCUUAUAC
rnacentral:rRNA from 1 species